CCUCAUAUUGAAGAUGCUUUUGUUCCCACUGAUGUGUGAGGAGCAUCAGAAGUUAUUAAAACUUUUUCAUUUCUAGAUACUGGACCUAUAUGAAGCUCUUAGUAGGAUGAAAACAAAUUAUAAAGUUGAUAGAUUUUCUUACAGGCAGCUACUAACAGACCUUCUCUACAGAUCUGGCCUACCGUCAACAGCAUCGUCCCUAUUUCACCUAGAUCUGUUUAAACAAGAGACACCAGGAGAUCAACAUUGAAUGAGAAAAUAAGACUACAAAUUUUCACCUUUGUGUUUACCACAUAAGAAGGUUCUGUCAUGGAAGGUGAAAGAAUUGGUGAAGAAAAGGAAGAUUAGAAUCACAGAAUGGUAGGGGUUGGAAGGGACCUCUGGAGAUCACCUCAUCCAACCCCCCUGCUCAGGCAGGGACACCUAGAGCAGGGGGCACAGGAAUGUGCCCAGGUAGCCAUUAUUUGCAGCAGUCUGCUCGGAACUCCUUUUACCACCAAAAGAUGAACAAAUCUUAUCAACUGCCCUUUUACCAUACUCCUUCUGCAAACAGUAGACCCCCUUUAUAGCACUGUAUCAAAAUGCAGAACAAAACAUGAGGCAAAAUCUCACCCAACGUCACUGGACAUUAUUUAGGAAAUAGCAUUAGAUGCUGUGGUUUUGACAGUCCAAUUGAAAGAUUAAUGAGCAAAUGUAUUGGGGAUGGGGGCGGGGGGGGGGCGGUUUACCAUUGCAUACUGAAAUGAUGAUAUUCCUUAGUUCUAGCUUCAUGAUAUGAGUUAAAGGCAAUACUUCAGGACCGUGGGGAAUUUUCAGUCUACUAUUACUAAUAUUAUUUAUAUUACUUUUGAACAUAGAAGCAAAAUCAGGAUGGAGUACUCUAUUAGCUUACACUUGGACUAAAGCCAUAACCAGAGGACAGACAUACAGAAGUUGCUUUUGAAUGUAAAUGAAUAUUAAAAUAAAACUUUUUUUU